AGCAAUGGCCCCACACCCCACACCACACAAUUCAAAUUCAAAUUUCUUUUGAACGUCUAAUCGGGUCUGUGUCCACAGACUGAAGUCGUGGGGCCCCUCCUUGGCCAUAUAAACAGACGAUUAUUGUAUAUACACAGAUUAGCACACAACUGAAUACUGAAUAAAUCCAUACAGCAAACUGCUGUCUAAUCGUAUUCCAGUUAACAACUGCACAACAAAACAAUACAAAACCCCAGCUGAACGGCUACGAAAAUGUCAUAAAAUUUGAAAUGCACUUGAUUCCCGUCUCCUUCCGUCCCCUGCUACAAAAGAUGACGGAGCGAUUGUUAGCAUUCGGCGUUUAGCUAGGGAAUGAAUACUCUUAAUACAGGAAAAAAGGA